UCUCCGUUGGUGAACCAGCGGAGGGAUCAUUACCGAGUUUACAACUCCCAAACCCAAUGUGAACGUUACCAAACUGUUGCCUCGGCGGGAUCUCUGCCCCGGGUGCGUCGCAGCCCCGGACCAGGGCGCCCGCCGGAGGACCAACCAAAAACUCUUUUGGAUACCCCCUCGCGGGUUUUUUAUAUCUGAGCCAUCGCGGCGCCUCUCGUAGGCGUUUCGAAAAUGAAUCAAAACUUUCAACAACGGAUCUCUUGGUUCUG
rnacentral:misc_RNA from 1 species